GAGGAAUAUUGGACAAUGGGUGAGAGCCUGAUCCAGCCAUCCCGCGUGAAGGACGACGGCCCUAUGGGUUGUAAACUUCUUUUGUAUAGGGAUAAACCUUUCCACGUGUGGAAAGCUGAAGGUACUAUACGAAUAAGCACCGGCUAACUCCGUGCCAGCAGCCGCGGUAAUACGGAGGGUGCAAGCGUUAUCCGGAUUUAUUGGGUUUAAAGGGUCCGUAGGCGGAUCUGUAAGUCAGUGGUGAAAUCUCAUAGCUUAACUAUGAAACUGCCAUUGAUACUGCAGGUCUUGAGUAAAGUAGAAGUGGCUGGAAUAAGUAGUGUAGCGGUGAAAUGCAUAGAUAUUACUUAGAACACCAAUUGCGAAGGCAGGUCACUAUGUUUUAACUGACGCUGAUGGACGAAAGCGUGGGGAGCGAAC
rnacentral:rRNA from 1 species